rnacentral:snRNA from 1 species
AGAUUUACCUGGCAGGGGUAAUGAUCACAUGAUCACAAAGAUGGUUUCCCCAGGAUGAGGCUUAUCCAUUGCACUCUUGAUGGACUGACCUCUACAAUUUCCCCAAAUGCUUUCCUUCUGGGCCUCAGUGGCCUCCAGAGACUUC